rnacentral:sRNA from 1 species
AAGAAGAGAGUCAUAAGCCAAGAGAGUGAAGAAGAGAAAGAAGAAGAACAACAACAAAACGGAUACGCUAAAGAACUAAUC